AACGAACGCUGGCGGCAGGCUUAACACAUGCAAGUCGAACGCCCCGCAAGGGGAGUGGCAGACGGGUGAGUAACGCGUGGGAACAUACCCUUUUCUACGGAAUAGCUCUGGGAAACUGGAAUCAAUACCGUAUACGCCCUACGGGGGAAAGAUUUAUCGGGGAAGGAUUGGCCCGCGUUGGAUUAGCUAGUUGGUGGGGUAAAGGCCUACCAAGGCGACGAUCCAUAGCUGGUCUGAGAGGAUGAUCAGCCACAUUGGGACUGAGACACGGCCCAAACUCCUACGGGAGGCAGCAGUGGGGAAUAUUGGACAAUGGGCGCAAGCCUGAUCCAGCCAUGCCGCGUGAGUGAUGAAGGCCUUAGGGUUGUAAAGCUCUUUCACCGAUGAAGAUAAUGACGGUAGUCGGAGAAGAAGCCCCGGCUAACUUCGUGCCAGCCGCCGCCGUAACAC
rnacentral:rRNA from 1 species